CACCGUUCCCAUCCAGGCUUGCGGGCGGCCACCGGCGGGCAGGGCUUCGAGAUGGCCUCGCCACCGCGGUACUCCCCGACAACCCCGGACAGGGAAUGCAAGUUGCCGCCACCCUCAGCCCCUGCCGGCGAGUAUCGUCCCGGCAAGCUGUCCUGGGGAACCCUGGCGAGGGCCUUAGGCUGCUUCAGGCUGUCGAUCCCGCACACGCGCCUGCUGGCCACCCUCGACCCCCUGGCCUUGGACAGGGAACCACCGCCGCAGCUGUCGCCUGAGAAGCAGCAGGUGCCGGAGAAAUUGAUUUGGGGCGACCAGGAGCCUCUCUCCAAGAUCCCAUUUAAAAUUCUGAGUGGGCAUGAGCACGCUGUGAGCACCUGUCACUUCUGCGUGGAUGACACAAAGCUCCUCAGCGGCUCCCAUGACUGCACUGUGAAGCUGUGGGAUGCGGCGGAUGGUUCUGUGGUUCGCGAUUUUGAGCACAGGCCCAAGGCUCCUGUUGUAGAGUGCAGCAUCACAGCCGACAGCAGCAGAGUCAUCGCCGCAUCCUACGAUAAGACUGUGAGGGCCUGGGACCUGGAGACAGGCAAGCUGCUGUGGAAGGUCAGGUAUGAUACCUUCAUCGUCUCCUGUAAGUUUUCUCCUGAUGGUAAAUACGUGGUCUCGGGCUUCGACAUGGAUCAUGGAAUCUGCAUAAUGGACGCUGAGAACAUCACCACCAUUUCCGUCAUCAAGGAUCAUCACACAAGGUCCAUCACGUCAUGCUGCUUUGACCCCGACAGCCAGAGGGUGGCUUCUGUCUCACUGGACAGGUGCAUCAAGAUCUGGGACGUUACAUCCCAGGCCACGCUGCUCACCAUCACCAAGGCACAUUCCAAUGCAAUCUCAAACUGCUGUUUUACCUUCAGUGGCCAUUUCCUGUGUACAAGCUCCUGGGAUAAAAACUUAAAAAUAUGGAACGUCCACACAGGGGAGUUUCGAAACAGUGGAGCCUGUGUGACCCUGAUGCAGGGCCACGAAGGUUCCGUCAGUUCCUGUCACUUUGCCAGAGACAGCUCUUUUCUCAUUUCUGGAGGAUUUGACAGGACUGUGGCUAUUUGGGACGUAGCAGAAGGCUACCGGAAGCUCUCCUUGAAGGGCCAUAAUGACUGGGUGAUGGAUGUUGCCAUUAGCAACAACAAGAAAUGGAUCCUGUCUGCUUCCAAGGAUAGGACCAUGAGACUGUGGAAUAUUGAAGAAAUUGACCAAAUUCCUUUGGUAAUCAAGUACAAAAAGGCUAUGGGCUUAAAGGUGAAACAGGAAAAGAAAGAGACCUACCUGAAGCUGAAGCAAGGAUGAACCUGCUGCAUUUGACUUGCUCUGAAUCAAUCAACAUGAGAAGCCUCAGAGGCCAGGCUGCCCUGAGGCCUGCCCCAGUGCGAAAGAUGUGACAGGCCUUUCUCCAUCUUCAAGAGUGACACUUCUGAAAUGUUCACCCAAUGCGUGUUCUGCCGGAUAGAUACAAGAGGCUUGCCAGCAGAGACUUCAUCAUCAUCAUCAUCAGACAGGGAGAACUCGCCGCCGCCGCCCGGGAGAAGCGAGGAUGAUUGACAGCUGCAGCCCCCUUUGAGUGACUCCAGCACAGGCUUCCUAGCAUGUAGGUUUUGGCGCUCUGCAGGGACUUUCACUUGGGCCCCUCCCAGGCUCAGUAGGCCUGACAGACUGGGGCAAGACACAAGCCCUGGCUGGGCUCUCAGCACAGUGCCACUUCCUCAGCUUUCAGCUUGAAACUUUCCGUUUUCAUGCAGAAUAAAUCUAAUUCCUUUGGAAAA